UAGCUAGUUGGUGGGGUAAAGGCCUACCAAGGCGACGAUCGGUAGCUGGUCUGAGAGGAUGACCAGCCACACUGGAACUGAGACACGGUCCAGACUCCUACGGGAGGCAGCAGUGGGGAAUAUUGGACAAUGGGGGAAACCCUGAUCCAGCAAUGCCGCGUGUGCGAAGAAGGCCUGAGGGUUGUAAAGCACUUUUGUUGGGGGAGAGGGUAUUAUGGUUAAGAGCUGUAAUACUGGACAUUACCCAAAGAAAAAGCACCGGCUAACUCCGUGCCAGCAGCCGCGGUAAUACGGAGGGUGCGAGCGUUAAUCGGAAUUACUGGGCGUAAAGGGUGCGUAGGUGGUUGAAUAAGUUAUCUGUGAAAGCCCUGGGCUCAACCUGGGAAUGCCAGAUAAUACUGUUUAACUUGAGUAUGGGAGAGGGUAGUGGAAUUUCCGGUGUAGCGGUGAAAUGCGUAGAUAUCGGAAGGAACACCGGUGGCGAAGGCGGCUACCUGGCCUAAUACUGACACUGAGGCACGAAAGCGUGGGGAGCAAACAGGAUUAGAUACCCUGGUAGUCCACGCUGUAAACGAUGUCAACUAGCUGUUGGGUAUAUUAAGAUACUUAGUGGCGC
rnacentral:rRNA from 1 species